rnacentral:rRNA from 1 species
AACGAACGCUGGCGGCAUGCCUAACACAUGCAAGUCGAACGAGACCUUCGGGUCUAGUGGCGCACGGGUGCGUAACGCGUGGGAACCUGCCCGUAGGUUCGGUAUAACUCCCCGAGAGGGGUGCUAAUACCGGAGAAUGUCUUCGGACCAAAGAUUUAUCGCCGUUGGAUGGGCCCGCGUUGGAUUCGCUAGUUGGUAGGGUACAAGCCUACCAAGGCGACGAUGCUGAGCUGGUCUGAGAGGAUGGUCAGCUACACUGGAAAUGAGACACGGCCCAGUACGCGACGGGAGGCAGCAGUGGGGAAUACUGGACAAGGGGCGAAAGCCCGAUCCAGCAAUGCCGCGUGAGUGAUGAAGGCCUUAGGGUUGUAAAGCUCUUUUUCACGGGAUGAUAAUGACAGUAACGGGAGAAUAAGCUCCGGCUAACUACGUG